GACGAACGCUGGCGGCGUGCCUAAUACAUGCAAGUAGAACGCUGAAGGAGGAGCUUGCUUCUCUGGAUGAGUUGCGAACGGGUGAGUAACGCGUAGGUAACCUGCCUGGUAGCGGGGGAUAACUAUUGGAAACGAUAGCUAAUACCGCAUAAGAGUAGAUGUUGCAUGACAUUUGCUUAAAAGGUGCAAUUGCAUCACUACCAGAUGGACCUGCGUUGUAUUAGCUAGUUGGUGGGGUAACGGCUCACCAAGGCGACGAUACAUAGCCGACCUGAGAGGGUGAUCGGCCACACUGGGACUGAGACACGGCCCAGACUCCUACGGGAGGCAGCAGUAGGGAAUCUUCGGCAAUGGACGGAAGUCUGACCGGGCAACGCCGCGUGAGUGAAGAAGGUUUUCGGAUCGUAAAGCUCUGUUGUAAGAGAAGGACGAGUGUGAGAGUGGAAAGUUCACACUGUGACGGUAUCUUACCAGAAAGGGACGGCUAACUACGUG
rnacentral:rRNA from 1 species